ACAGGGUACGAGCCUGUACCUGAGAACUCAAAAUCCCCUGUACUACCACUAUACUACCUCCUAGUAAAGUCAGC
rnacentral:tRNA from 1 species